rnacentral:rRNA from 1 species
CAAAACAUGGCUUCUCGUUUUAAACUUAUGUGAAGUCGUACCUGCCCAGUGAAAUUUUAACGGCCGCGGUACUCUGACCGUGCAAAGGUAGCAUAAUAAUUUGCCUUAUAAUUGAAGGCUGGAAUGAAUGGUUUGUCAAGGAUAAAACUGUCUCUGUAAAAUUUAUUAGAAUUUUAUUUUUAGGUGAAAAAGCCUAAAUUGGAUUAAAAGACAAGAAGACCCUAUCGAGCUUUAAAGAACUUAGUAAGUAUUUUGUAACUAAUUAGAAACUAAAUUAUUAAAAAUUUUGGUUGGGGCAACCUAGGAGUAAACAAAGCCUCCUUUUUUAAAAAAACUAUUUUGUCAUGAUCCAAAAAUUUUGAUUAUAAGAAAUAGUUACCGUAGGGAUAACAGCAUUAUUUUUUUUAAGAGUUCCUAUCGAAAAAAAAGUUUGUGACCUCGAUGUUGGACCAGAAUGUCCUAAAGAUGUAGAAGUCUUUAAGGGUUGGUCUGUUCGACCAUUAAAAUUCUACGUGAUC